UGAGAUCCUUGGAGCGUGAAUUCAUCCACCUUCUGUGGCCAUCCCAGGCAACAUCGCUCUGGGUAUGAUUGACAUAAUUUGUGCAAUCUUGUACUAGAUAGUGGAGACGUUCAUUUGACUCAUCGGGUGUGUUCUUUCCUCUAUGUUAUUUUAUGUUUGUUUCUUUCAUUGAGGAUAAUGUGUGUUUUAAGGGUGGGGGAGGGAUGCCAUUUACUUUCCUUAUUUUGUUUUCUUCAUUUAAUUUUGUUGUUUUGUUUUCUUUAAAAAAAGUUAUGCAUGUUUUUCAUUGGUUUUUGGGUUGCAAGUGUUGUGUGAGUAAUUUCUCUAUUCUAUUGAUUAAUGACUUGUGGUGUGAUGUGAUUGAUUUACUGUACACUCUUAGUAUGAUAGUAUGGCUAAAUUUUGAAUUAUGCAUCAUUUGUGGUAGAUCAUUAACCUUUGUGAGAUUUUGAGCCUAAUAAUGGAUAACAUUAAAAAAAUUCAUCUCAUGUCUGUUAGUAUCUAGAACUUGAUCUGACUUUGUUUGAAAUUGUUUGAUUACUUAUGCAUACUGAUAUGAUAAAGGCAAGUUAUUUCUGUU
rnacentral:lncRNA from 1 species